rnacentral:misc_RNA from 1 species
UUGUUUCUCAUGUCUGCUUGCUUGUGCGCCUCGAAAGAGCUAACACUCUAGUAGGUUCCGAUGCGCUUGCUUUCAAUCGUCGCUCUGUCAGCUGGAGCCUAUAUUGCGGUUUCUGUUUGCUUCCUCCAGAUGGCAGUACGUAGCAAAAAGCGGAAAUCCCUCUUGAAAAAGAAGUUUUCAUACCCUAUAACCAAGAUUGCUCACCGCGGUGGUUCCCUCUUGGGUCCGGAAAACACAAUGUACACAUUUAUGCAGGCUGCCAAGGUUGGGCUUUGUGACAUGAUCGAGCUGGAUGUCAGGGAGUCGAAGGAUGGGCAAAUCGUCGUGUGCCAUGACCGCACACUUGAACGCACAUGCGGCCCAAAGUACGCGGGGAUGACGAUUUCAGAGUUGGUGGUCGGCAAGAACCCUUCCAAAACACUUCCUCAAUGCAAGAGAACUAUUGAGUUGGAGUUUGCCACUCGCGACAUCAAGCAGUACGAGGCGUCUGACAGCGUCCCCGUUGAUGACACCACCAGAAUUUGCCUCUUGAGUGAAGUGCUCAAGAAGUUCCCUUCUAUGCCGCUGCACAUUGACAUCAAGGAUGAAAGCAAAGAUUUUGUCGCUUUAGUUCUAAACCUGCUUGCCGCGCACGGACGCGAAAGCAUCACUUUCGUGGGAAGCAGCCGACCGAAGAACCGACAGUUCAUCAACGAGUACUUUGCGGAGAGGGAGCCCGAAAUUCGGAAACGGUACCGGAUUUUUGGGGGGCCUCGUGAUUUUUUCCAGACGUACCUCCUCUUUUACACGGGGCUACUGCCUUACUUCUCCGUAAACUAUGAUGUUUUCUCGAUUCCGGUUUUUACAAGCACUAUGAAGAACGAUGCCGCAAGGGAAUAUGGAAGAGUUGUUGCUGCUGUGGGUGCAUUUCUUUUCUCCUCACCGUUGCUGUGGAGGUACCUCCAGAGCCGAGGCGUCGCUGUGAUUGGGUGGAACCUGAACGACGAGGUCGACAUUUUGCAAGGGAUUCAGUGGCCCCUAAACGGCCUGAUGUCUGACGACCCCAUCAAACUCCGCCAGCUAAUAGAUGCGAACAAGAGAGUGGCUCGGUUGAACGUGCUAGUUGGUUAGUUUUUCUCUUUUCCAAGCUGAUAGCGUUUGCACCUUAAAUACCACUUCAAUCCCACAAUAUUUACGGGAAGGCCGAAAGCGCAUCGCGAAGCAGUUGUGCGCAGAAAACACGAAAAGGGCUGCCUCCAGAGUGAUAGAUACGUAUGCCGCUCUUAAAGGCGCUUGCAGUUUUGAGUUUUUCAUGCUUCUCGGCCAGCUCAAACGCUCUCGAAGUCCUUGAGGCCAACGCUUUACCCACCCCCUUCCUUUUUUUGCUUUGCUGUCAG